rnacentral:lncRNA from 1 species
UGCGGAGAGGAUCAAAUUGCGGAGAGUCUGCUUCUCCCAGGCCGCGAAGCCAGGUCCUUUAACAGCCCCUCCUGGGAGCUCAGGCCAUAAACGCUUGCUGCUUCUGGGUUUUCGUCUCUUGAUUUCCUUAUGACCAAAUUUUGCUAGUUUCCACCUUCGGGCUCAGCCUGAAGUGCCAGCCUGCAGUUGGGGGCCUGAGAGGUGCUCACAAAGGACGCUGCACAAGAAAGGAUGAUGGAAUCAGCUCCUGGAGGAGUGGCCAGCUUCAGUGACAGCGUCUGGGCCAGUGUGGUCCAGACACACCGGACCUCCUGCAUCACGGCAUGCACUAUUCCAUCCUCCUAGGACAGUGGGUUACCUUCAGGUGGCACCGACUCAUCCUCCAAGACUUCGCUUAGGUAGCGCCCCAGGUCAGCACCUUCAAAACGUGGUUACAAAAGAAUGUUUACUGACAAGACAUAAAAGAAGUUAUAAACAUAACUCUUAGCAAAAGCUCUGGGAAUUGACCAUAUCACAACCUGAAAAGGCAACAAAUACUUAAGAGGAUUUGAUCACUUUAACUAAUCUUUAUCCUAAACCAGUUUUUCAAUCAAAUUUUAAACUGUGUCAAACUGAGUUGUUCUACUCCAAGAAAAAUCAAUUUGUGUAACUGCUAAAACAUUUAAUGUAUCAUUUCACUCUACAAGUUUCUUCUUGACAUGGGUAUAAAAAAGAACCUUUAAUAAAUUUCACCUUUUUGAAUGACCAACCACAUACACAUAAUAAAUACUUGUUAACCUUUCAAGUAGAAAAAACAGAUCUUUGUUCUAUGGCUGAAAUCUCCUGCUUCAUAGGAGUAUUGAUAAUUUUAACUCUCAAGGAACAAGCUGCUUGCUGUCCCUAAUUUUAUUAGAUUUUAAAAUAAAAUAUAUAUACGGCAAUAAUCUAAAAAGUACAAAAAUCUCACUUGCCUCUGUAAUUUUUGUGUCUGAAAUGUAUACUUUCAAACAGAAAGAUGUUUUGUUUCUCUUUUAACAAAAGAAAAAUCUCAGCUCAUGUGUGUUGGAUUUUUUUUUUUUUUUUUUUUUUU